AUUGAACGCUGGCGGCAGGCCUAACACAUGCAAGUCGAGCGGAGCGGCGGACGGGUGAGUCAUGCCUAGGACUCUGCCUGGUAGUCGGGGAUAACGUCCGCAAACGUGCGCUAAUCCCGCAUACUCUCAGCUGAGCCUAGGUCGGAUUAGCUAGUUGGUGGGGUAAAGGCCUACCAAGGCGAAGAUCCGUAACUGGUCUGAGAGGAUGAUCAGUCACACUGAAACUGAGACACGGUCCAGACGCCGACAGGAGGCAGCAGUAGGGAGUAUUGGAGAAGGGGCGAAAGACUGAUAAAGCCAUGCGGCGGGAGUGAAGAAAGUAAUCGGAUUGUAAAGAACUUUAAGUGGGGAGGCGUAACCAACGGAAUGAGCACCAGCUAACUUCAUACCAGCAGCCGCGGUAAUUC
rnacentral:rRNA from 1 species